GGAAACAAAGUCCCGGACGCUCGAGCAGCACGGGGAGGGCUUCUGGUUGUUCCCAGGCCGGCCGGCCGGCCUCGUUCCCCGUUGGGGAGCUAGGGGCCAGGCUGGGCUAUCCACACGUGGGCAGUUGCGAGUUGGCAUAAGGGGCAGGCCUUUAUUAUUCCGGCAAUCAGCGCUUGAUUUAUUUGGGUGACGCCUCGGAGCAGCCGCGGGCGGGCGGGGCAGAGGAUGCAGGCCUACAGCGCAGGGCCACCGCGCCGGAUGCAGAGCCCGGAUGCCGCGGAGUCACCAGUCUCAGCCACCCCCUCCCCAUUUAUUUUCCUCUAUCAGCCCCGUAUCAUGGGGGGUGGGGGGAAUGGGAGUUUUGAGAACCCUCUGACCCUAGCCAUGACCCCGCUCCGGGAGGCAGUUUCUCCAGGCGCGACGCAGUGCGCCAGGAAACCCGAGGCGGUGCCACGCUUGAAAGCGAAAGGUCCAUUCAUCAGCCGCGCCCGGCGUCUAAUUGGCCUUUUGUUCAUUAGUGCCUGUUGCCCAGCGGGGGAGCUUGGGAGGGCCCUGGAGCUGCAAGUCGGGGUGCUUGGUGCGGGCCGGGGGCUCGUGCCCGGGGUGGAGGUCUCCGGCAAAAGCGCCUCGCGCUCCUCCGAGGGGGCGCCAGAGCGCGCCAAAGAUCGCAACCACGUGUGCCAACGCUCUCCCCCAAGCUGCUCUCUAAGCCUCGGGGCCUGGUUCGGGGGCUUGGGGAGGCGCCGACUUCCUCUCCGUCUCUUCCUCCACCUGCACUCUGCUUUCCGCGCCCUUGAGAUUUCAGAUCCGCCUUCCUGCCUCUCCCAAGUUCCCGGCCCAGCCUUUGGCUCUGGGGCUGAGUUGGACUCACGUCUUGACUUUUUCUUCUUUCACCCUGGCUAGCCACUCACCACCUACGCCAGUCCUCUCUCCUUACGCACCAACCCUCGCUAUCUUGGAGCUGGCACCCCACUUCGCUGGCAGGGGCCUUUAGAAACUGGCACAUGCCAGGGAAGUGGGAGUCGUCCACACUUUAGGGAUCAGAUGGGGUGGGAGACCAAGCCUCCUCCUCCACUCUAAAGGGCACCUCCCUCUCCAAGUCAAACCCAAUUUCCUUGUUCCUAGCUCCCAUCCCAUACCCAAUUUCCAAUCCAAACCCGGACGCCCCUUUCUACUCCACCCUGAUGGAUUCGCUGCACACCAGCCCGAAGAGUUCUAGAGACAGCUCAGGCGGCCCAGCAUUAGUCCAAUGGCCAAGACGCACCUGCGAGGUCACUGAGGUGCCGGGGCUGGGGUCGUUUGGGACAACAAGCCAGAAGGACCAUUUUUGAAUGUCCAAUAGCCCGUCUGUCAGCAACCUCCCACAUCUCCGUGCCUCCUGGACUCAGGCUGUCCCGACCCCUAGCCAGCUCUAGGUCCUGUAUAUAGUCCGUGACUCUAUAGCCCUGGCUGGACCUUGACGUCAGGAAGAACUUGAUCUUGCCUGCUUCACUCCUGCUUCUGAAACUGAUCCUUGAAAUGAGAGAACAGACUCUACACAAUUCCCAUGGCCUUGACAUAAGGGUCACUUCUCGGGGCUCUGCUCCCGGGAGAACGUGGACGCCCCUCCUCCUCCCCUAAACCAGAGGCACUCCUUGGAGCUGGAGAAGGGCAGCAAAUUGCAGGACUGGCCGCCACAGGUUGAAUGGUCGGGUAGAAGAAGGAAGCCAAGGGUCGGGGCCAGUUUUCUCCUCCCUCCACCACCUUGACCCAUCAGGACUCUACUGGAGAAGCUCUUUCUUCCAGCCGUGCUCAGGGAAGACAGGCACAGCCACCGUAGAUGAGGAAGAAGUUAAGAUCAUCCAGCACACCCCACAACAUCUGGCCUCUGAGAGCAGCCAGGACUACCCCAGCAAUGGCAUGAUCCUGAGUGUGCCAAGAGGGGGUCAGAAUGGCUGUGAUCAGGAAAGCAACUGACAACAAAUUCUGGCAAUGGUGUAGAGAAAGAGAGCCCUUCUUCACUACUGGUAGGUAUGUAAACUUAUGGAGCUAAUACU